rnacentral:rRNA from 1 species
UACGGAGGAUGCAAGCGUUAUCCGGAAUGAUUGGGCGUAAAGCGUCCGCAGGUGGCAAUGUAAGUCUGCUGUCAAAGCGUCUGGCUCAACCAGAUAAAGGCAGUGGAAACUACAUAGCUAGAGUAAGGUAGGGGUAGAGGGAAUUCCUGGUGUAGCGGUGGAAUGCGCAGAUAUCAGGAGGAACACCGGUGGCGAAGGCGCCACUCUGGGCCGAAACUGACGCUGAGGAGCGAAAGCGUGGGUAGCAAACAGG